GUCUUCGUGGUGUAGUGGUUAGCACGCUCAGCUCGUAUUCCGAGAGUUCUGAGGUUCGAGUCCCGGCUGGGGCA
rnacentral:tRNA from 1 species